CCUACGGGCGGCUGCAGUGGGGAAUAUUGGACAAUGGGGGCAACCCUGAUCCAGCAAUGCCGCGUGAGUGAUGAAGGCCUUCGGGUUGUAAAGCUCUUUCGCCCACGACGAUGAUGACGGUAGUGGGAGAAGAAGCCCCGGCUAACUUCGUGCCAGCAGCCGCGGUAAUACGAAGGGGGCUAGCGUUGUUCGGAAUGACUGGGCGUAAAGGGCGCGUAGGCGGCGCAUCAAGUCGGGCGUGAAAGCCCCGGGCUCAACCUGGGAACUGCGUUCGA
rnacentral:rRNA from 1 species